GGGAUCGCCUGAGUUUCCCUGACCUCCGUGGAAGAAAGGGAACUCGCCCCCGAGCCUCUGCGCACCUCAUGUGGCUCCUGAGGAUGGGUUUCAAACCCCUGAACUCGCUGGCGUGCUCAGCUCCAGGAGCGAGGCCUCCUAGCGCCAGGGAACUUCGUCGGAGCCCUUGCCCUGCCCCUGUUUCUCUGUGCGAGGGAGAAAGGAGAAGAACCCGACACGCGGCCCCAGCCUGUCGGUGAGCGAGCCAUAGCCCCGAGUGGCGCAGUCCUCCCUGGUGCAUUUUCCCUCUUAGUAAAGCGUAAUUAGACCGUAAAGUUUUCUUUUAUAUUGGUUUAAAAAAAUAGAGUUUACCAAAAAGUUCGGCUCGCUCUAACUUUUAAAAUACAACUCUAAAUACAUUGAUUCUUUUUUCCUAUCUAAUUAGAAUUUCAUCUAGUUUAUUUUAAUACUUAUUUCAAAAUUAUUCAAACAACUUUUGUGUGUUGUUUUAUGUUUGUGUGUGGAUUCAUGUAUUUUUCAAAAUAGGAUUUUGAAGAGAGGAUACCUACUCCAAGAUGUGGGGUACACAUCACCCUUCUCAGACCCUAAGGCAAUCAUCCUGAAUCAGAAUUUGCAUAAAAUUGUGUGAUGAUUGUGGUGGUGCUUGUAUUGCGUGAUUUUUAGUUAUCUCGCAUGAAAUAAUACCUUGCAUAAUAGCAUGUGAUGGAUAUUGUUGUUGCUAAGUUUGUGGAAGGCAAGUGUGAGUGCUUACUGCCUCACACUUCGUAUUCUACGUUGGUCUGGAUAACCUUGGAGUAAGGUGUGUCUCGUGAAAAUGAGACCAUAGGCUGACACCUCAUGGGACGGGAGUGGUCAGUGAAGGCAUGUCGGGGUAGGAUGGUAGUAACCCAGAGAUAAUCUCUUCAACAAUAUGGUGUGGUACUAAUCCUUGCAAGAAAAAUAUUAAACCUCGUAAGUCGAUCGUAGAUCGAGUCUAGACUGUCUGUCAUCUUACCCUUCGUGCUACCACAGUUUCUUGGAUAAUGGGUUCGGUGUAGUCAGUCAUAGACCUAUUAUGGGUCACACACCAAGUAGAGGGGCCGAGAUUAAGGUAUCCAGGGCCCUGGACUAAAUCCAGUCAUCCUGUCACGGGGCAUGGGUGUUUCCGGUCUGGGACCGGAAGGGAGGGCACUCUCCAUGAGCGUGCGAUAUAAAUUUUGAUCCCAUGCUAGUCGAGGUCGGAGCCUCCCCGUCUUAUGGUUUUGCCUUGGUAGCGUAGUCCGGGUGAAGCCGGCCUUCGCAGAGGAAAAAUCGGUGUAUGCUGGUUCUGAGAGUCUGUUUCUAAAAUACCAUACGCGGGAUUAGUCUCAGAGACUAUUGGAACCCGUGAGCUGUGGUUAAAGAGUACCCCCUCUGCAGAGUCAAAACUAUUCUAGUAGCCAUGUCCAUGGUCAAGGACAACUGGUUGACUAGUCAAGUAUCGGUCUGAGUGUAGAUCUUCGGAGGAUGUUAUAGAAAUCGUGAGACUAAUCUGAAAAUGUGGUGGAUGACCAUACUAUUAUUAUUACUGUGGACUAACCCCUAUGAUUAUGUUUGUUGAAUAUCCCUCGGACGGUUCUACCUCCUAGAUAUUAUUCACUUAUUAUUAUUUCUUAUAAGCCCUUUCAGUUGUUUCGCUCAGACGCCCGACUGAUGCAUGCUUAUUAUUAUUUAUUAUAAGCACUUUCUGUGGUGUCACUCAGAUGCCCAACUGAGGCAUGCUUAAUAUUAUUUCUUAUAAGCCCUUUCUGUGGUGUCGCUCAGACGCCCGACUGCGGUGCGCAUAUUAUUACUCCUUCAGUUUUACCUUCCUUGCUUGUUUAUACAAAAUUGGUGGGAAAAUAGCGUAUCUGCAUAAAUGCAAUCAUGAUUUGAACUCUAAUGGCAUGAUAUAAUUUUUAGUGGAAAUUUGCAUGCAUCUCACCUGCUUUAACUUAUUUUUUUUCUUGAUGUUUGCGAGUACAUUCAAAGUACUCACUGGCUUGUCCCUGGCUAUUGUCUUGGCCAGAUCGCUUUCAGAGAGGCGCACGAUGUCGUCAACCCCAGAACCUAGGAGUCAAGGAUAGCAGCCUUGUGAGAUAGGAAUUUAUCCAGGCUAGUUGUUCUUGUGGGAAUGGAGUCCCAUGGGCACUGGAGAUUCCUCGAGUCGCUUCCGC
rnacentral:lncRNA from 1 species